GUUAGUGUUGCUACUUGUGCAUGGGUUUAGCAAGUAGGGAAUUUGAUCCUGAAACCCAGGUCUUUGAAUUUCCCUCUGCACUGCUUGUAUUUUAUCACCUGUUGUGCUCUCUCUGACAUCAGCCCCCUGUAGGCUGUAAGAAAAUACAGCUAAGCCCUCAAAACUUUCAUUAAAAAUGGACUUAGGUUAUUAAGUAACAUUUUAACUGUUUAUUAUGUGUUAGAAACUGCCAUCAACAUCGGUUAUGCCUGCAACAUGCUGACUGAUGACAUGAAUGAUGUGUUUGUGAUAGCAGGGAAUAAUGCUGUGGAAGUGAGAGAAGAACUCAGGAAAGCAAAACAAAAUUUGUUUGGACAAAACAGAAAUUUUUCCAAUGGCCAUGUAGUUUGUGAAAAAAAGCAGCAGCUGGAGUUGGAUUCUAUUGUAGAAGAAACCAUAACAGGAGAUUAUGCCUUAAUCAUAAAUGGCCACAGUUUGGCUCAUGCCCUAGAAAGUGAUGUGAAGAAUGAUCUCCUAGAACUUGCUUGCAUGUGUAAGACUGUGGUUUGCUGCAGGGUCACUCCACUCCAGAAAGCCCAAGUGG
rnacentral:sRNA from 1 species